rnacentral:rRNA from 1 species
GAUGAACGCUGGCGGCGUGCCUAAUACAUGCAAGUCGAGCGAACAGAUAAGGAGCUUGCUCCUUUGACGUUAGCGGCGGACGGGUGAGUAACACGUGGGUAACCUACCUAUAAGACUGGAAUAACUCCGGGAAACCGGGGCUAAUGCAGGAUAACAUGUUGAACCGCAUGGUUCUACAGUGAAAGGCGGCUUUGCUGUCACUUAUAGAUGGACCCGCGCCGUAUUAGCUAGUUGGUGAGGUAACGGCUCACCAAGGCAACGAUAUGUAGCCGACCUGAGAGGGUGAUCGGCCACACUGGAACUGAGACACGGUCCAGACUCCUACGGGAGGCAGCAGUAGGGAAUCUUCCGCAAUGGGCGAAAGCCUGACGGAGCAACGCCGCGUGAGUGAUGAAGGUCUUCGGAUCGUAAAACUCUGUUAUUAGGGAAGAACAAAUGCGUAAGUAACUGUGCGCGUCUUGACGGUACCUAAUCAGAAAGCCACGGCUAACUACGUG